rnacentral:lncRNA from 1 species
UUCAGUUUGCAUCUUGGUCCUUUUCCACCAUUUUCAGCCCCUCCAGGGCUUGCAGGACCUGGCGGGCCACACUCUUGGAGCCUUAGCUGAAGUGGCUGGGCAUGACGCUGUUUCUCUGACGGCCCUUGUAGAUCUUGGUCAUAGAGCCAACCCCAGCACCACCCAAGAGGAAUUUAUUUUCUGCACCAUACUUCUCUCCUUCUGGCCAGAAGCAAUUUGUAAUCCUGGUUCUCUGACUUGACCCUGGGCAGCCUUCACUGAGAAGCCUUGGACUUUGACGUUCUUGGAGGUGGAUCUAAGUUUGGGUUAAAUCGUUCCGUCUGUAUACUAUA